rnacentral:lncRNA from 1 species
GGCUUUGUAAUAUCUUCAGAAGUGAGAAGCAGAGGCUCCAAACAGGCCAAGAGAGGGCUCACUCUCUGCAUGGGACUUCACACAGCUUUCCAGGUCGCUGUGGGGUGGGGUUGGGGUGACUGUUUGUCCUCACGGUCCUCAUGGUCUAGAGGAAUGGAGGGGAGGCUGCUGGGGGAUCCGAGAGGCCAGUACUGAGGUAGGCUGUGGGCAAGCUGAGACGCCCCCAGCGCUGGAAGAGGCCGAGGGUCUCCUCUGCCCUGGGAUGAGAUUCUCCUGCCCAGAGUCCGAGCUAAAACCCUGCUAGGGUGGCACCUAGGUUGCUUGAAGGGCAGCCACAGAGCGCUUUGUCAGCCUGCAGAGACCUCAGCAGCGUGGAGGGAAGAGGAUUUUCAUUUUCCUGUUUCUUGGAUGCCUUCUCAGAUGCCCUGGAUGAGAUCCAUCCUCAUUUCCCCUGGCUCUUCCCACCUCAUUGGGACACACAAGAUAGAACAGCAGCACGGAGCAAGGCAUCUCUUUCAUUUGACAGAGGAGGAGCUGACUAAAGAAGACCCGAGUCUUCGCCGUGCAGCUCCUCCGAGCACCGUUCUGAUAGACAGAUGUCUUCCUGACACGGCUGUGUGAGUCGCUCCCAAGCUCCUGAAGUUGCCGCGUCCCAAAUCUCACAGUGGGUCCCUGCAACCCUUCCGGUUCCUCGCCUGAUCGCCAUCACUGGCACAAGCACAAGCCUGCCUACUCCUCAUCACCUGCACAGCUGUCCCACGGCUGUGCCGGGCUCCUCGUCUGUGCAUCCUUCCCUGCCGCCCACCAACCCUGCACUCAUGCUGUGAUGAUGUCCCCUUCUUCAUGAUCACACGAAGCCAUUUUCAGGUGUCUCCUUCCUCCAGAUCAGUGUUUCUGACCUGUCUCCCCCCAAGCCUCACACACCAGCACCCCAGCCUGCUGUUGAGCCCUCGCUUCCACCUGGCAGGGUGAUUGGGGUCUCCAUGAAUUCUCCUUGCUCGUCGGUGGAAUUCCUCCCUACCAGUACUCUUAAAGCUAACGAAACCCUUUAAAGCACAACACAAGACCUGGAUGCCAUAAAAACGAAGAUUAAUACAUUUUACCUUCAUAAGUCUAAAACUCUUGUCUUGCAAUAUGUGUGAUAUAUCUUGCACUAAUUUCCCAAACAAAUAAAGAACUUCGGCAAAUCAUUAAUAUAGAAAAAUCACCCAAGGGAGAAAGAAAGAACAUUAAGUGAACAACACACACACACACACACACACACACACACACACACACACACACGGAGGGAACACAAAUGCUUGCUAAAAAUAACUUCCCAGACAGAAAAACACAAAUUCAGGUCGAGACUAGAAUGAGUAAAAGACUG